rnacentral:rRNA from 1 species
AACGAACGCUGGCGGCGUGGCUAAGGCAUGCGAAGUCGGAGCGGAUCUAUCCAACGGGUAACUGAAGGGUAGAUUAGCGGCGGACGUGUGAGGAAUACAUGGAUAACGUACCCCGGACACAGGGAUAGCGGCGGGGCCGAAAGGCUCCUUUGCGAAAGUGCCGGUAAUACCUGAUGAGCCCGUAGGACCGCAUGGUCCAGCGGGCAAAGCUCCGACGGUCUGGGAUCGGUUCAUGUCCAUCAGCUAGUUGGCGGGGUAACGCCCACCAAGGCGGCGACGGGUACCGGGUGUGAGAGCAUGACCCGGCACAUCGGAACUGAGACACGGUCCGGACACCUACGGGGUGGCUGCAGCAACGAAUAUUCCGCAAUGGACGAAAGUCUGACGGA